AAAAAAUUAGUUAAAGGUAUAACAUUAGUAUGUCAAACUAAAAUUAUUAUUAUUUUAUUAAUAUUUUUUA
rnacentral:tRNA from 1 species